CACAGCGUGUUGGACACCAGUGGGACUGGGAUGCCACUGCCAUCGUGUUUAAUGGGGGAGAAUAUCCCUCCUCACCCCUUUGGUGCCCCUGAGGGAGGGUCCUGGGCUGGAGUUCUCACCCAGAGUUCCUCUCAGCCCUUGCAUGUUAAAGGGACUUUUCCCUCCCUUUUUGUACUCAUGGAUCUGCUCUUCCAGGCCCAGAAGACCACAGGCAGCAGGAGCCAGCAUUUCUGCUCUGGAGAGGAGCCCAUGGAUGUUAGUGAUGCCUCUGGUGAACAUGGACAUACAGGGGCCUCAUGGACACAGGUGCAGGCCUUUGCUCCUGGGCAUUCCUCAGGGAUCAUCCUUAGGGCUGAGAAAGGCCCUACUUCCCAGUCAGUGCUUCCUGAGGAAGGGCUUUGAGCCCUCCCAUAGUGAAUCCUGCAACUCUAGAGCCAACCUCAUCAUCCAGACCCUGCCAUGGAUGUUGUUCCUCCAUCUCAUCCUUCCUCUGGCUCUUGGGUCCACAAGAAAUCCCUCAAGGAAUCUUGUGGAUGGAUCCUUGAGAUGAGUCCACAAGAAAACCCUCAAGGAAUCUUGUGGAUCCUUGAGAUGAGUCCACAAGAAAAUCCUCAAGGAAUCUUGUGGAUCCUUGAGAUUGGAUCCACAAGAAAUCCCUCAAGGAAUCUUGUGGAUCCCUGAGAUUGGAUUCCUGAGGGUUUUGUGACCCCAUCUUUCCCUCAGCGCAACAGAAACCCACACUGAGGUCUUUCAUCCUUGUCUUUCCUAUUCUUAACUCUGGAAUACCUCUGAGCCUCCACACAGGACGAUUUCUGGGCAGAGGACUCAGAGGGAUGUGCUCCUCACCACCGUUCCCUUUCUCCCUCCUGGCCCUGAAGCAUCGAUUCCUUAUGGACACCAGAUGAGGACACCAAGUCCCAGGAGCACCUGGCUGAAGCCACAGAGCAAUCAGCUGGGAAUGAGUCAUGCUAGCAGCCCAAUCCCAGGAAUCCUGGCCAGAUCCUUCUGCACAAGACAGAAAUAGAUUGUAAUUGACAGAUGACAGGCUCUGGCCAAGUCCUGGUGCUUGAGAGGGGGGAUGCAGGGAUAAGGGCUAUUAUUGUCCCUGCUAUUUUUUAUUUGGGAAGUGCUCCUACUGCCUCAAGUGCUCUCGGGAUUGCCGGCAAGAGCCUUCCUGUCCUUAGCACACAGGAUUUCUGGGAUCCAAGGGCGUGACUGGAGAUGAGCUACGAGCUGUGGGAUGGAUGUGCUAACAACCUUUGGCAGGAAGGAGAGGACUGGACCAGCACUUCAUCUCGGCCGGAGACAUUCCAGGAGUGGCUGCGAAGUGAGAGUUGGACAAUGCAGCGGAAACUGGGGUGAAACAUCUCACAAAGGCCAACUAUCGCCCAGCUUUCCCAAGCACACAUUAUUCCAUGCCACAGCAUUGGAUAUAUUGGAGCCCAACUUGGCUUUGAAGGAACCCAAGCAGAUCCAGCCGUGACCACUUGGGGAGCUGAAUCAAAUCCACCAGCUGAAAACCUCUUGCUGUUGUUUCUCCUCCUAAAGAACCUGGACAAAAUGUUUUUAAUAAAAC